CAAUCUUCCUGGUAGUUUUGUGGUAAAUUGGUAAAACAUUUAGGAUGAUGAAUUUUUAACUGAUCUGAUUUCUAUGCCAAAUCAUCAUCUAGGGCAAUAGGCAUCGUGUUAUGACAGUUUCCCCACGUUACGACCAGUACAAAGAUGCAUGGGAUACUCAUGUUCUUCUUCAGAUAAAAAUUGGAGACCGAAUAGAGACAGUUCGCUUCUUCCACUGCUAGAAACGUGGAGUUGAUCGUGUUUUUGUGGAUCACCCAAUGUUCCUAGAAAAGGUUUGGGGUAAAACUGGAUCUAAGAUCUAUGGGCCUAAGACGGGAGGAUUACCAGGACAACCAAAUUCGAUUCAGUAUAUUGUGCCAAGUAAGUUAUUUGAUGCAACCUGUAGUUUCAAGCCCGUAAUUCCAUGAAUGAUUUUCAUUCUUUGAACACUUGAUUCAAAAUAAAAAAGUGCAGUUGUUUUGUCGUAACUUCCUACUAUAUUAUAUAUGGAAAAUGAUUGUCAAGCAGAAAUUUUAUACUGAAAACUCACUAAAAAUGUUGUGGCAGUGAAAUUUUUUGAAAUUAUAAACCACAGUGCUUUGGUAGGAAAAUAUAUAUAUAUAUAUAUAUUUUGUAUAUCAUUGCUCAUUAUAUAUUAGAGAAGUAAUCGGUCGAUGGGAUGUUAAGGCAAAAGGUUGGCAUUGUGCUCCAAAUUUACAUGGUUUUGCAUUCAACACGAGUCAAUCAUCCAUGUUCUUGUUUGUUUUACAUAAUGACCACCUGUGGUAUAUCAUUGUUUUAUUUCCUCUUACUGCCUACUCAAGAUUUUUGUUAGCCUACGCC